rnacentral:lncRNA from 1 species
AAAAAUGUUAAAAUCAGAAAUCAACUAACUAUUGUGGAAAUGUGUAUUCUUAACUGCCUGCGUAAGCCUGAUGGAAUAGAAAAUGGGAUUCCUUUGAACAGAAACUGGCACAGAAACACAAUAAAUCGAAUCAAAUAAAUCAAGUCAAUCAUUUUCAGCAGGCAUUUAAAAGGUUGAAGCAGAAUUCACCUGCUGAAUCUGGCAGAGCAGGGCUGGGCAACUUUGGUUUGCACAAAUGUGUAAGCAAAACUGCCCAGAAAUAGGUGCCUGGUUUGAAGAAAUUGACCUGAGAUCCUGAUGAAAUCUCCCAUCAAAGAUGCAGACUGGUGUGGAAAUGUUGUUGCAGGAAACCCCCUCCCCCCAAUCAUUCAGUUUGUACAAACUCAACACACACACACACUCACACACUACAUACGCUAUGCUUCUGUAAUAAAUUCAUAGAAAAUCAACCAUACAUCGGAUCUGCACCGUUCCACUUUUAUUUUACUCCAUGAAGGAAGGACUACAAAAUGGGGAAGGUUUGAUACAGGGCAGCCAUAAUCUCUUGAGCAUACCAGCACAUACGCAGGAGCCCUGCCCAGUUGCUAUGCCAACCCUGAUGGUCCUAGACAGAAGACCAUCAAGGUCACAAAGGACUUGCAUAUGGGAGUGGAUUCAACACGGACUGGAACAAAGGACAAUGAUCAGGUCUUCCCUCUGGGGGCAGGAAACUGCCAACUCCCCUUUGUCCUCUGGAAAUGACUCAUGGGGAGGGGGAAAGGAGGAACUAGCCAGGUGACAAGAUACUCAGGUUACCUCCACAAUUCCUCCCUCAACCCCUCCUUUUUGUGACGUGUCAAUGAUGUAGUCAUGAUGUAGUUGUGAUGUAGUUCUAGGGGUGUAGUUUGGGGGAUUAGUAACUAACAAAAGUUGGGGUCUUCUUUUGUUCUGGGCUUCCAUUUUGUUUCACCUGGUGGCAGCUGGGAGUCCUGUCGCAACAGUCUUCAAUAAAGACCAAGCCUACUGGCUGCUGUUUUGCUCUCGCAUUCCUGGCUGGUGUCCUUGUUUUUUUUGUCCAAGGGAGCUCUCGGAUUUCUCCGUCAACAAUGUGGAGAGCAGAACUUAAGACUGGGAAAACGAUAAGUUGAAAAUGACAGAUCCUCCCUAGGGCUGCCAUACGUCCAGAUCUUCCCGGACAGUACCAGGAUUUUGAAGGCAGAAUUGACGUCUGGGGGGGAUUUAUGAAAGGUGGUGCUUUGUCCUGGAUCUUAGGCAAUCAAUUGAAAAAGCUCAACAAUUUCGGGGUGCCCUGGUUUUUUACUUUUUGAAAUGUGUCAGCCCUACUUAUCCCUGAACAUACCACCACCCUGGGCAUUUCCUUACAGAAAGAGGAGGCUGAGGGAUUUUCACAAAGAAAGAAAACAUGAAGGAAGUCCUGCUCAUUUCGAUCAGACUUGUGCAGAAACAUUCGGCGAGGAUCGGGCCCCUUCCCUCUUUCUCUCCCCUCUGCAAAUAUAAUGAAAGGAGACCCCAGUGACAAAAAGUAAUGCGAUCCUAAAUUAAUGGCAACAUUCUAAUAAAUAAUGGUGAUGAUUAAUACUGCCCAAUCCCCAAAGUAAUAAUCAUUUAAUAAAUUGCAGAGGACUCCGGUAAGUCUCUGUGUAUCUUUUAAUUAUAUUGAACGGAGAGAGCAAUUAGCGUAAAAGUUAUUACUAAUGGGGGCUAAUGUAACUAAGCAGGACAACGCAAGUGGGAUUAAAUUAUCCCAUGCCUAUUUUCCCCCCUUCCCCAAACACUCACAUACUAAUGGAGCUACAAAAUGGAGAAUCACUACCACUACAUUGAUGUGGAAAGAAGUUUUCCAUCCUUCUGUCUGAGAAGAGGAAACAAAUUCUCUCUCUCUCUCUCUAAUAAUAAUCUUUAUUAGGAAAAGGUAAAGGGACCCCUGACCAUUAGGUCCAGUUGUGACUGACUCUGGGGUUGCGGCACUCAUCUCGCUUUAUUGGCCGAGGGAGCCGGCGUACAGCUUCUGGGUCAUGUGGCCAGCAUGACUAAGCCGCUUCUGGCAAACCAGAGCAGCGCACGGAAAUGCCGUUUCCCUUCCCACCCGAGUGGUACCUAUUUAUCUACUUGCACUUUGAGGUGCUUUCGAACUGCUAGGUUGGCAGGAGCAGGGACCGAGCAACGGGAGCUCACCCCGUCGCGGGGAUUCGAACCGCGACCUUCUGAUCGGCAAGUCCUAGGCUCUGUGGUUUAACCCACAGCGCCACCUGGGUCCCUGCUAAUAAUCUUUAUUAAGUUCACACAUAGACAUAUAUGCAUAAAUAACAAAUAUAGACAAAAUAAGUAGUAUAAUGAGAAUUAUUAAUGUUUAAUAGGUUAUUGUAUUUUAGUGUUUUGUUGGAAGCAGCUCAGAGUGGCUGGGGUAUAAAUAAUAAAUUAUUUAUUAUUAUUAUUAUUAUUAUUAUUGGAAGUUUUAUAUUUUAACCUGUUAUCUAAUUGUAAUAUAUUGUGUUUUGUUUUUGUUUUCUUUCUAUUUCCUUUCCUUUCACUGUUUCUGUCUAUUUGUAUUGCUUUUGCUCUGUAUGGUUUGUCAUUUGGAAACAAAUUCUCAAAGCUGCAAAAAUAUCGCACAGUGUGCUAGACCGUUGUUGGAGCAUCCAGCGAAAGUGAAUUAUGGGAGAUUAGGGAUGGAGAAGAGGAAAGACUUCUUCGCCCAGUGCAUAGUUAUCCUGUGGAACUCCCACCCACUGGAAGCAGUGAUGGCCACCAACUUGGGACGGCUUUCAAAGACAAAUUCGCGGAGUAGAAGGCUGCUGGCCACACUGGGAACCACAAGUGGGAGGAGUGGUUGUUGUGUCCAAGUCUUUCUUGUGGGCUUCUCAAUGGGGCAUCUGGUUGGCCACUGCCUGCUCGACUAGGUGGGCCAUUGGCCUGUUUGCAGAGCUCUUCUAACAUUCCUACAACAAGAAUAAAGAAGCGAUCCUGUGUCACAAAACCCCACAGAGGGAACCUCCUCAGGAAAGGUGAAAAAUCCCAGUGGCAUUCAAGUACAGUGGUACCUUGGUUCUCAAACGCCUUGGUUAUCAAACAACUUGGAACCCAAACACUGCAAACCCGGAUAUAAGUGUUCCGGUUUGCGAACAUUUUUUGGAAGCCGAACGUGCUCCGUUUUAAGGGUUACGCUACUGUUUUGAGUGUUACGCUCAGGGC